CACAACGUUUGUGCAUUUUCCCAAAUCCUCUCCUUUCAGUUCCAUUCCAUUCAUUACACAGAGAGCAAAUAUGAUCCGGUGGCUGAACUUGGUGUCCUUACUUCUAUCCUUGGGAGGUGUUCAAUCUCAAGUCCAGUUGGUGGAGUCUGGAGGAGAUGUGAGAAGACCUGGAGCGUCCCUCCGUCUUUCCUGCCAAGCCUCUGGAUUCACCUUCCGCAGCUAUUACAUGGGCUGGAUAAGACAGGCUCCAGGGAAAGGACUGGAGUGGGUUGCAAGUAUGGGUACAACUGACACUUACUACUCAGACAAAGUGAAGGGCCGCUUCACCAUCUCCAGGGACGAUGCCAAAAGCCAGCUGUAUCUGCAAAUGAACAGCCUCAAAGCUGAAGACACGGCAGUCUAUUACUGUGCGAGAAGCACAGUGAGAGGAAGUGAAUCUGAAGCCCGUCAAGAACUUUCUCUGCCUCUGAAAAGCUUACACUUAUUUACACUCAGUCCCUUUUAUUUCUUUCAAUAUUGCCAAAUUUCCUCUGUCUCAUACUUUUCUACAUGUUAUUCCUUUUUCAUUUCUUCUCCAUUAAUUUAUACUCAUUAUGCUUAA